rnacentral:rRNA from 1 species
AGAGUUCGAUCAUGGCUCAGGACGAACGCUGGCGGCGUGCCUAACACAUGCAAGUCGAACGGUUUCAGUCGGACAGCUUGCUGACUGACUGAAAUAGUGGCGGACGGGUGAGUAACGCGUGAGCAACCUGGCUCAAAGAGGGGAAUAACGCAGGGAAACCUGUGCUAAUACCGCAUAACAUAUCGGUAUCGCAUGGUAUUGAUAUCAAAGGAGAAAUCCGCUUUGAGAUGGGCUCGCGUCCGAUUAGAUAGUUGGCGGGGUAACGGCCCACCAAGUCUGCGAUCGGUAGCCGGACUGAGAGGUUGAACGGCCACAUUGGGACUGAGAUACGGCCCAG